rnacentral:rRNA from 1 species
GACGAACGCUGGCGGCGUGCUUAACACAUGCAAGUCGAACGGAAAGGCCCUGCUUUUUUGGUGUUCUCGAGUGGCGAACGGGUGCGUAACACGUGUGUAACCUGCCCUUCACUUUCGGAUAACUUCACGUAACUGGGCCUACUCCCGUAUCGGAUCUCCUGUUCCAUUGUGGGGGUUGGAACGUUUCGGCGGUUGGGGUUGGAUUCGCGGCUUAUCAGCUUGUUGGUGGGGGAGUUGCUUACCCAGGCUUUGACGGGUCGCCGGCCUGGGAGGGUGACCGGGGACAAGGGGACUGAGAGAGGGAGCAGAGGCGAACGGGAGGCAGCAGUGGGGAAUAUGGCACAAUGAGAGGAAGCCUGAGGCAGAGACGCCGGGUGCGGGAUGACGGCCUGUGGGGUGUAAAAAGCUGUAGCCUGAGACGAAGCGGGAGUGACGGUAAUGGGUAAAGAAGCACCGGCUAACUACGUG